rnacentral:rRNA from 1 species
UACGGAGGGUGCAAACGUUGCUCGGAAUCAUUGGGCGUAAAGCGCACGUAGGCGGUCGGCUAUGUCGGGUGUGAAAUCUCGGAGCUUAACUCCGAAACUGCAUUCGAUACUGCCGUGCUUGAGGACUGGAGAGGAGACUGGAAUUUACGGUGUAGCGGUGAAAUGCGUAGAUAUCGUAAGGAAGACCAGUGGCGAAGGCGGGUCUCUGGACAGUUCCUGACGCUGAGGCACGAAGGUCAGGGGAGCAAACGGG